CAGUAGCCACGGUAAUACAGAGGGUGCAAGCGUUAAUCGGAAUUACUGGGCGUAAAGCGCGUGUAGGUGGUUUGUUAAGUUGGAUGUGAAAUCCCCGGGCUCAACCUGGGAACUGCAUCCAAAACUGGCAGGCUAGAGUAGGGCAGAGGGUGGUGGAAUUUCCUGUGUAGCGGUGAAAUGCGUAGAUAUAGGAAGGAACACCAGUGGCGAAGGCGACCACCUGGGCUCAUACUGACACUGAGGUGCGAAAGCGUGGGGAGCAAACAGGAUUAGAUACCCCCGUAGUCCCUGUCUCUUAUAC
rnacentral:rRNA from 1 species